ACCGAGCCGAAACGAGGGAAAAGCCCGCCUAGGUGACUGAGGCUGGAGGCGGAGACAACAGUCCGGGAAGGGGUCCGUCGUGCGGUAGGGGAAGCAGAACCUCGGCCGGCCGGGAGGAGAGACCGGGAGGUGACGAGAGAAAGAGCACCUCCUUCAGAGUUGAAGAAAGUGAAGCCCACAGUGAAGGACUUGCCUAACAUUACCAGCCAAAGUGAAGCAUCCGACUUUGACCCAGAGCACCAAUGUGAAGGCCUGGAAGAUAAAGAUACCUCCACAACUGAGCAGAAACUUGACAAAACCUACCCAGAUGUCAGGCCUGAUGCAACUCAUUCUUGCUCUUGGCGUUCUGAGUGAGUUCUGUGCGUUUCCAUAGAGUUCUCACAGCCAAUACUAUCACGUGGAAAUUAUUAGCCUCUGUGAGCCUAUUGUCAUGAUCAGAUUCUACGGCUGUUAAGCCUGUAUCUGCGGAGUGGUGAUGGCGGAUGCUCUUAAUCCCAGCAUUUACAAGGCAGAAAAAGGCGGAUCUCCGGGUUCGAGCCUGGUUUACAUAGUAAGUUCCAGAACAGCCAGGGCUACACAGAGAAACCCUGUCUCGAAAAAAAAGAAGAAGAAGAAGAAGAAGAAGAAGAAGAAGAAGAAGAAGAAGAAGAAGAAGAAGAAGAAGAAGAAGAAGAAGAAGAAGCAGCAGCUCAUCUUUGGGUCUCAACUCAAGUUCACCAUCACCCUAUCCCACCCACCGAUCUCUUUUCCUUCCUCAUUUAUUUGUGUAGUUUGGAGUAACAGCUGCUCAAGGUACAAAUUCUAAAGGAUGAUGGCAAUGCUACAAGACAUGUAACCUGUAAUCACUCCUCUUUCCACAACACAGCUGUCUCCUGUGCUUCUGAAAUCUUGUCUCUUGUGGUAAUGGCCACUAUUAUUUCAUUUGACUUUAUAGCAGACUUGAAUCAAGUGUUUUAGUUACACCCAUUAGUCUCAACACCAGGGAUCAGGGCUGUCCUGAACUCACUCUGUAGACUAACUAACUAACUGGCCUCUAACUCACAGUGAUAUGUCUGCCUUUGCCUCUCGUGUACUGGGAUUAAAGGUAUGGGCUAGCCAACUUUAUGGAGGAGAAAUCAGAAGCAGUUAGGAUGAAUCAAAUGGAGUAUUGCUGGGCUUGCUGUCACACACCUUUAAUCCCAGCACUUGUGAGGCAGAGGCAGAUAGACCUCUGUGAAUUGGAGGUCAUCCUGGUCUAUAUAUUGAGUUCCAUGAUAGCCAGAACUACAUAAUAAAAAGACCCUAUCUCAGAAAAACAAACAAACAAAUAAGAUAUAUAUUUUGGGUCAGGAGAAGCAGUUAGCAUGUAACAGCACUGGCCGCUCUUCCAGAGGACCAGAUUUUAUUCCCAACACCCACAAGGCAGUUCACGACCAUCUGUAACUUCAGUUCCAGUGGAUCAAAUACUUUCUUCUGUCCUCCUGGAUCUCAUGCAUGCAUACAGUGCUCAACAUACAUGCAAGAAAAACACUUAUACACAUAAAAUAAUUUUUAAAUUUAUUUUUCUCUUUUCUUUCUUUUUAUUUAUUUUUUUUAAAGACAGAGCUUCACUAUGCAGCUCCGGCAGUCCUGAACCUCCCCUAUGUAGACCAGCUGUGGCUUUGAAAUAUCCACCUGCCUCUGCAUUCCAAGUGCUGUGAUUAAGGCUUGUGCCACUGUGCCCAGCUAAAUUUUUAUCUUUAAAAAGAAGGAGAAAAACAGAGAUGGAGUUCACAAUACCUACAAUACUAUUUUAGGCAGCUUUCCUGCCUACCUCCCUAGGCUGUGGACUCAAAAUGUAGAGGGAUGGGUUCUCUGUGACCCUCCCUAAUCCCUUGGAUACUUUAUCUCUGCCUGUAAUCAACUCUAAAAAAAGCCCUGCUGGGAACCCAAAGUCUUAAUUCAUCCAGGCAGUGCUAGUGCAUGCUUUUAAUUCCAGCACUUGGGAGGCAGAGGCAGGCAGAGAUCUGUGUUAAAUCCGAGGCCAGCCUGGUCUACAAAGUGAGUUGCAGGACAGCCAGGACUGUUACACAGAGAAACACUAUUUACAGAAACAAAACCAUUUAAGUCCAGUUCAUCAAAGUGGGAGUCAGUGCCUCAUUCUGUCACCAGAUGGCACUCUCCACUUUGGGGACCCAGUCUGGGGGUAGUGGGUUGGUGGUGGUCCUAAGGGCCAUCGAAGAGGGGAUUGGGGGAAACUAAAUCCAGGACAUUGUAGUAAAAGAGCAGAACUACAGGGCCUGUCUAGGAGCAACUCUCUCAAGAAUCUCCACCAUGGUAGGCAGUGGUGGUACACACCUUUAAACACAGGAGGCAGACGCAGGGGGAAUCUGUGAGUUCGAGGCCAGCGUCAUCUACAGAGCAAAUUCUGGGACCUGUCUCAGGGGGAAAAAUUCAUCUCCACCCUAAACUGGUGAGUGCAAUCCCAGUACUCAAUCCCAGUACUUGAGUGGAGAGAUGGGGAUCAGAAGAUGUAGAGGAAUUUUAAUUCAGAGAAUGGUUGCUCUGGCAAGAAAUCCCAUCCAAAGACCUUCUAGGUCAGUGUGAUCGGGCUGGAAUACAAAGAUGCCUUUAAUCCAGGAGGCAGAGGCAAGCAGAUCUGAGUUCAAGAACACUCUAAUAUAGAGCAAGUUUCAGGUAAAGAAAAGCUUAAGUCCAGGCAUAGUGGUACAUGCCUUUAAUACCAAACAAUGAAGAAGUUAGUUUGUAGAAGGAAGCACCCAUGUUUGAAAGUGAUGCCUGUCUGGAGAGAUGGCUCAGAGGUUAAAAGCACUGUCUGCUCCUCCAGAGGUCCUGAGUUCAAUUCUCAGCAACCACACUGUGGCUCACAGCCAUCUACACUGCUCUCUUUGGGCGUGCAGGUGUGCAUGCAGAUAGAGCAGUUAUCAACAUAAAAUAAAUAAAAUCUUUUUUUAAAAAAGGAAAGAAAGUGAUAUCUAAUUAAGUGGCAGAAAAAGUGACAAAUCAGAGAAAGAUUUGACAGAAUAGGAUACGACCAGCUCUCUAAGAAGAGAGAGAAAAGGGAAGCUACUUAAUGGGCAAUUCGAGAAGAGAGGAGGCAGUUUUGCCUGGACAGCUUUACAGAGAGAGGUUGAAUGAGAGAACAAGCUAGACACAGGUGAAGACAGAACGUUUAACAAACCAGAGAAUGAGAAGGAACAAGGAUAUUAGAGCAAAUUGUUGGAGUUAGCUUGAAGCCAAGCAGAGCAAUUGAGAGGCCGAGAGAAAAGCCAGAUUGAGUAAGUCAGCUGGCAGAGGAGUUUGAGCCAGAAAAGCUGAGUUGAACUAAGCAGCCCAGAUAAUAACAAGAAAGGGUGAGCUUAUUCAGCAGUAAGUCUCCAGAGAAACCCUGUCAAACAACAACAACAAACAAGAUUGGCUGGUAGGCAAAUCUGAAGUGCCUUUUUUUUUUUUGUUUGGUUAUUUGGGUUUUGGUUUUUAAGACAGGGUUUCUCUGUGUAGACCUGGCUGUCCUGGAUUCACUUUGUAGAUCAGGCUGGCCUUGAACUCACAGAGAUCCUCCUGCCUCUGCCUCUGCCUCCCUAGCCCUAGGAUCAAGGGUGUGCGCCACCACCAUCUGGCUGAAGUGCAUUUUCUUAGUUAUUGAAUAAUACUUGGAGGGUCCAGCCAAUUGUGGGUAGUGCCACCCCUGAGCUGGUGAUCCUGGGUGCUAUAAGCAAGCCAUGGGAGAGCAAGCCAUUAAGCAAUGUUUCUCCAUGGCCUCUGCUCGUGUUCUUGCUUUCAUGUUCCUGCCUUGAUUUCCUACCCUGGCUUUUCUCAGUGAUGGACCUAUAUGCUGUAAGAUGAAAUGAACACUUUUCUCCCUGUUACUUUCUGUUAGGGUGUUUUACCACAAUAAAAAGCUAAAAUUC